AUCUCUCCUCAGCCUUUUGGCUAAGAUCAAGUGUAGUAUCUAUUCUUCAGCUGAUUCAAUACAUCCAUGCAAAAAUUAGUUCUGGAUUAUUUUUCAUAUGUAAUACCUCCA
rnacentral:snRNA from 1 species